AACUGAUACUACCUGCGGGAACCUGCGGAGGGAUCAUUACCGAGUUUACAACUCCCAAACCCAAUGUGAACGUUACCAAACUGUUGCCUCGGCGGGAUCUCUGCCCCGGGUGCGUCGCAGCCCCGGACCAAGGCGCCCGCCGGAGGACCAACCAAAACUCUUUUGUAUACCCCCUCGCGGGUUUUCUAUAUCUGAGCCAUCUCGGCGCCUCUCGUAGGCGUUUCGAAAAUGAAUCAAAAC
rnacentral:misc_RNA from 1 species